AUUUCCAAGUGUCCACCAUGUGCCAUCCAAAAAAUAGCAGGCCUGUGGUAAAUGCUGCAAACAUUGUCAAGGCACUGCUGACCUAGUCAAUGACCUAGACAAAUCUGCCCUAUGUGCCAGGGUCACUCUUCAGGCCUGCUGCCAUUGCAGCUUGAAACCGCACUCAGCAUUGAUAAAAAACAGUACAAACACCAUUGCCUUUUGCACAAUAUGUCACUACGUAAGAGUGCACAAGUGCCUCUUACGUCCUGCUACAGUACAUGACCUUCAGCAUAACUGAAGAACACUACACAAUACUCUGGAUGUGCAGAUGUUUCCAAAAAUACCCUCUUGUUGCAUUGCUAUUUGUUUAGACGUUCAGCACAUGGCACAGUUCUCUUUCACACCUGAUCCAAGUUUUGGUGGGUUUCAAGUGUUGGUAGAUUCAACAUCACUGAUUGAGGUACGGUAGAUAAUAAAGAAACGCUUUCCAGAAGGUUCUUGCAAGGAUCUUAAUUGGACGGUGUAAUAGAGGGUGAUUAAGGAGUAGCAAGACAAAGCAGCUGAUCUUCUAUGCUACAUAAUGUAGCUAGCGCGAUGGAUAAACCACCAGGACUGCAGUGUGGAAAACGAAAACAAUUGCUCCUGGUCCUACCUCAAUAAAAGGGUUAAAAUAUAUUGGAGUAAGCAACGACUCCAUUAUAUGAAACGAGAAGAAUGGUGAGGUGGAUGAUCCAUUCAUCUGAGGAUUUCUAACCAAUGCGGAGGAGAUGAAUACUAUUUCCAGACUUGUCCAUGUCCACAUUUGUGUCUCUUUUGUCGCCAGGUUUGCUCUUGUCCACUGUGGGCUUUUGCCUCUCAUCCCAUAUGAGAUUUUUUGUGCUUCAGUCAGGACAUUAAAUCAUUAACAUUCAUUAAAUAUUAAUCAUGAACAAGUCAUCCAUCAUUGGGUCAUGUUCAAUAUUUAGCAGUGGAUGUCUCAUGUCCGUAACUCUGAGGCUCUGUAAACUGUAAACUUUGUUUACAAAUGUUUAUUGUAUCUUCAUCAUCAGGAUGAAUCCUGCUUUUUUUUUUUUUUUAAAAAAAGUGGGACAGAUUAGUCUGUUUUCACGCAUUCAUUGUUUUUAAUACUCGGUUGAAUUCAUGAAAGGUUUUUUCUCUUUCUUUUCACUGUUAGUUUUGCACUUAUUUUUCUCUAGCCAUCGUUUUGCCAUUGUAUUCAUUUGCAGGUUCGGACAAAGGGGGGUUUAAAGCAACUCUUGCAUUUUAAGUAACUGUGUAAAUGCAGUCUGCUGCCACCAUGAGGUGAAAGGGAUAUUCAAAAAGAGAAGCUGCCAGCCAAUUAGCAUCUUUCCAGAGGCCACAUAUGGCCCUGGGGCCAGGCUUUGGAAACCCCUGAUCUAAACGAUUAGCAGUAGACAAAUGCCCAAGGUAUGACAAGAGCUUACAGUGGCUUAAAAAGGUGUAACCUGUACAAGGAGAGACUCUGACAGGUCUGGCCAUGACAUUAAUUCAUUCUUCUUCAGUAAGCGCUUUAUCUGUGUCCAGGUCAAGGUGGAUUCGGAUCCUGUUCCGGGAACACUAGGGUCAUGGUGGCUCCAGAGUCAAUCUUGGGAUGGAUGGAAUGCAGGUUCAUGACAUUUUACAGCACUUAUCAAGAGUGUCCAAAAGUGGCAGCUUGGUGGAUUUGGGUUUUAAACCUACAACCUUCCGUUCAGUAGUCAGUCUCUCUCUUCCACUCACUCUCACAAAUUCACCUACUGGUGUUUGGUAAAGUGGGAGGAAACCAGAGGGACAUAGGGAGAACAUGAGAAACUCUAGACAGUAACUCGAGCUCAGGAUCAACAUGGGGACCAUUGUGUGAGAUGGAAAUGCUAUACAUUUCACCAUCCUGUAAUAUUAGUCUAUGCUAAUGGUUAAAUGCUGUGUGUGUGUGUGUGUUCCCAGGAUAGACUCAAUUUCCAGCACAACCCUUACUAGGAUAAAGCAUUUAUUGAGGAUAAAUGAAUAAGAUGGGUUGGCACCCCACCCUGGAUGCCUUGUGCCCAGAGUACUCUGGGAUGUAGGCACCAGGUUCCAGGUCCCUUGUAAUCCUGUGGAGGUGUGUAGUAAAAAAAAAUGGGCAGCAUUGCAGGACACUGAAAAUUGAACAGCAUGACAUCUCGCUGUACUGCUUCUAUGACAACAAAUAAAGUAGCAGCGUGAAAUCUUUGAAGUGCACAAAAACAAGCACAGACAGUGUUUCACCCAAAUGGACCAACACUUGCGUAUGUUCCUCCGACCUGUUCGCGGUAGUAGUUCAGCAGCUCGGGUUCUCCGCUAAGAGCCAGAAGGUUGCGAGGUCAAAUCCCAGGACUGCUGCGUAGGCACUCUACAAGACCUUGAUAUAAACCUUUCUGUCAGUGUUUGCUACACUAUGGGGCACUUGAGGACCAGAGACACCUCUGACUCAGUGUAAUCAUCCCUGACCUUUCUUGAGGUGUCUGCUGAAGUGAGUGUGGGGGUAUUCUAGGGGGAAACAUGGGGGAAAAAAAUCAAUAUCGCAAUCGUGAUGUUUGGUUUAUGAACCUGACGCUUUGAUUUCAAGUAUCAGCCAAGAAAUCAUUCCAACUGGUGAAAAUCUAUUCACAAACCUAUUCUUUAUCAUAUAUUUCAAUGCAAAUUUAACGCCCCCCCCCCAGCAUUACUUAGCUUUACUCAUCUCUAAACUACAACUGAAAGGAGAGAAAGACGAACAGACUCGUUCCAUCAGCACAAUGCUUCCCCCUUGUGGACACCUACAUUACUGCACGCACUGAAAGUGGUUACUAUAGUAAUACAUCGUUUAAAUAAAGAUGUAGAGCAACUCAGAAAUCAUAGAAUCUACAUUCAACUAUUUAUCUCCAUUAAAUAUCCCCAAAACCUCUUCUCAACAUCUUUUACCCAAACUGAAUAUAUUCCUGUUUUUGUUUUGUCUUUUUGCAAAAUAAACGAUUAGACAUCAGUAAAAGUUGCAUAGAUGCACUUACACUUUAAUCCCAAUGAAGAAAUUAAAAUAUGCAAACUAGAAAUGCCACCAUCCCUACACAUGCC